AAAACACAUACAGUACUCUUACCCUUGCCUGCAAAGAAGCCUAUGAAUUGGAGUAUUUUGUCCUUGAUUUGGCUGAAGUACUCUUGCUUCAGGAGUAUUUUGUUUUAUGAUUAAUUUUUUAUUUGGCAUUCCCAUUUCUGCAGCC